UACGUAGGGCGCAAGCGUUAUCCGGAAUUAUUGGGCGUAAAGAGCUCGUAGGCGGUUUGUCGCGUCUGCCGUGAAAGUCCGGGGCUCAACUCCGGAUCUGCGGUGGGUACGGGCAGACUAGAGUGAUGUAGGGGAGACUGGAAUUCCUGGUGUAGCGGUGAAAUGCGCAGAUAUCAGGAGGAACACCGAUGGCGAAGGCAGGUCUCUGGGCAUUACCUGACGCUGAGGAGCGAAAGCGUGGGGAGCGAACAGG
rnacentral:rRNA from 1 species